CUCAACUUUAAGUUUCAGCAGACUAUUCUUUUUUCCUUAGCUGCACAGUCACAGUCGGCAGUCCCUUCCCUCACCUUGUUCUCUUCACCUCGUCCCUCUUUGGUAACCCUCACUGAGUCAGUUUCCCAUCUCACCUCUACAUAGAAUCUUCACCCCUCAAUCUUGUCGCAGUACAGGUGAAAGGAAAGCAUAGCUAGCCCCUUGACAUAGCCAAUGCUUAUCCUUCCUACAUCACUGAAGCAGCUCUUCAGAUCUUCGCACUAGGUUUACUUGAACCAAGCCUACAGGCCUUGAGACUUGGUGGGAAUCCAUUAAGAAGAUCAUUCAUUUCGAAGGGAUAGAAAAUCAUUUUUCAAAGGAAGGGUUAAGCGCUCUACUCCUCCUCCUAGGCUAUCUAGUGAAGAAGUUUGGAGGGAAGUAUGUGACCUGCCAAAAAUUUUUUAUGAUCUUGCAUUGGAUAAGUUACCGGGAUUUGGUGUUCAACAUAAUUGGACAAAACAAUGCAUCUUUUGGGAAUUGCCGUAUUGGCGCUCAAAUCUUAUUCGGACAAUUUUGAUGUGAUGCAUAUAGAGAAAAAUGUGUUUGAUAAUAUAUUCAACACAGUAAUGGAUGUCAAGGGUAAAACAAAGGACAAUUUAAAAGCUCGAAGGGAUAUACAAACUUAUUGAAUCGUCCAGUUAUUGAAUUGAAGAAGCACCAUGGGAAAAUUAUAAAGCCAAAAGCAGCCUACACAUUAUCAAAGGAACAAAGAAAAUUGACAUGUGAAUGGGUAAAAAAAUUUAGGCUUCCAGAUGGUUAUGCCUCCAAUUUGUCUAAAUGUGUUGACCUAGGAGAUUGCAAAUUGUCAGGGAUGAAGAGCCAUGAUUGUCAUGUGUUUUUAGAAAGGUUGCUACCAACUGCAUUUCUGGAUUUGAUAUCUGAGCCAAUUUGGAAUGCCUUAACUGAGAUUAGUUUAUUUUUUAAGAGUUUAUGCUCAACAGUGUUACAAGUAGAAGACGUACAGAAGCUUGAACAAAGCAUUGUGUUGACAACAUGCAAGUUGGAGAAAAUAUUUCCGCCUGGUUUCUUUGAUUCCAUGGAACAUUUGUCGAUACAUUUACCAUAUGAAGCAAAAGCUGGUGGUCCAAUUCAAUUUCGGUGGAUAUAUCCAUUUGAGCGAUAAGUUGCUAAAAUAUCCUAUUUGACAAAAUAAUUAAUUUACUUUUAUAAGAUUUUAACUAAAACUAUCUUAAUAUAGGAUGCUACAUGAUCUCAAGAAGAAGGUGAAAAAUAAAGCUCGUGUAGAGGGAUCAAUAUGUGAAGCUUAUCUCAUUCAAGAAACGUCAACAUUCACUUCCUAUUAUUUCCAGCCUCAUGUUCAAACUAGGCUGAACAAAGUUAGUCGAAAUGAUGAUGGAGAUGCAGUUGAUGCACCUGAUGGUUGCUUGCCCAUGUUUCUGCACCCAGGACGUCCGGCUGGAAAGAUGACAGAAAGAUAUUUUUCUGAUGAUGAGUGGGAUGCAGCACGCUUGUAUGUGUUGUUAAAUUGUGAAGAAGUUCAACCAUUUGUACAGUAAGUUAUUAAUUUUGGCAACUUCAUUAAGAUAUAUAGUAUGAGUGGCUAAAAUUUGAUUAUAAUUUAUAUUGCUUUGUAGUAUCUUUGAAGAUGAAUUGAGAAGAAAUUCACCGAACAUUAGUCUUGAACAGAUUGAUAAAGAGACAAAUAGUAGAUUUGCCAAGUGGUUUGAAGCUUAUAUUUUCAGGUUAAGUAAUUAUGCCAAGAGGUAAAGGUCGUAAACGUUUUUCCACUAAUCGAGGAGGCAUAGAUGCAACAUGUAAAAGAGACUCCCCACAUCCACAAUCCACUUCUAAGGUGGUUAUUCCUCAACAAUCAGCCCCUUUAAUGCAAGAUGGUACUUCUAAUCAACCAUUAGCUCCUUCUCCUCAAGAUGGUAGUUCUAAUCAACCAUCAGCCUCUUCAUCUCAAGAUGGUAGUUCCAAUCAACCAUUAGCUCGUUCAUCUCAAGAUGGUAGUUAUAAUCGACCAUUAGCCCCUUCAUCUCAUGAGAGUGGAGCUGAACAGCCUGCACCUACUUCUCAAGUUAUUGGUACUCAACAACAAACACCUACAACUCAUGAGGUUACUCAGUCACAGCCAAGAUAAUGCAUUGUUCGUGGCAUAAGACCAUUGACUGUAAAUGGUGAUACGUUUCACCCACAUGAUGCUGUUCAGGAUGUCACUGAAGCAUUUAAAAAGAACUUCCAUGGCUCAUGGCCUUGUUGGUGCAAGGUUCCAGCUCAUAUUCAGGACCAAUGGUUCAAUCAUUUUCAGAGAAAUUAUUCCAUUAAAGACGAGCAUAAAGAUAUGAUUCGGAAUACAUUUGAGCGUGUGGGGAGUGGAAGGUUGAGUGACACUUUAGGAAAGGCCAAAAAAGCAUUUUAAAAAACGAAGAAAAUACCAAAGUGGAUCAGUCAAAAUCAUUGGGAUGAUUUAAUGAAGUAUUGGAAUACAAUAAAUUUUAAGAAAAUAUCAUCCAUCAACUCAAAGAAUAGAAAGUCGAGCAAUAAUGGAGAAGGUCCAUCCUUACAUACUGGAGGAUCAGUUGCAUUUGAUGAAUAUAGAAGAAGAUAUGUAGGUGUUUAUAAGUUUUAAACAUACUUAUCAUAAUUUAGUUUUCCUUAAAUUAACAUUGAUUAUCUGUUUCAUGAUUAUAGAGAGAGACGACUAAUCAAGUAGUUAGGGAAGAUGAAUUAUACCUGAAGACUCACAGGACAAAAGAUGAUAAGUGGGUUUGUGGGAAGUCAAAAAGAGUCUGGAAUACAUUCACAAGAAAUAUUUAGCAGAUAGUGGGUGAGACAUCAACCACAAGAAAUGAAGAUGGUUCUGAAGUACAGGAAAGAGAUGUGGGAUUAAACAGGGCAACAGAGGAAAGUGAGGCACAAGAAUGCAAUGAAGACAAUAAUAUCUUGACUUUGCUACAGAAUAUCCCAAAGGAGCAAGUGUUGAAUACUUGGAUUGACGCAAUUGGUGGAGCAAAGAAAGGAAGAGUGUAUGGACUUGGCUUAGAGACUUCAGUUCUAGGAGAAUUAACCCAUAUUAGUUCUGUCCACUCUAAUGCUCCAACUCCUUCAACUGUCUCUCCCCAACAAGUUAUUUAAACACCUGAGUUUGAGCAAGCAGUUAAUCAAGUGGUGGAUCAGCGGGUGGAUGAUCAGGUAAAUCAGUGAAUGGAUCAGCGAAUGGAGCUUAUGCAGGCACAUUUUCGUGAGGAAGUAGAAGUAGCAGUCCAUGCUGUCAUGAGCCGCAUGUUUGGUCUCUUUCCACAACCACCAGGAAAUGGCUCUUGUUCUUCCUCAUAACCACCCCUACAUAUUUAGAGUUUAUGCUAUGGCUUUUGAAGUGUAAAAUAUGUUUUGGCUCUAUGUUAUUAUCAUUAGCUUUCGUCUUUGGAAGACAGUAUUACUUUUUGCAAAGUAUGUGUAUGAGUAUUUUGUUGA